AGUUGCUCAUUCAACUUUUUAUGACGGCGCCGCCAGAGGGCGGACAACCUGCCUCAUAAGCCUCCGAAUGAUGCCAAAGAAAUGGUGCCUAUCGUCCAACCAAACCGAUAAUUGCCGCUGACGCGACUUUAUCAAGCAUCGGGCGACACGUGGAGUGAGGCACCGCCUG
rnacentral:sRNA from 1 species